UACGUAGGGACCGAGCGUUGUCCGGAAUCAUUGGGCGUAAAGAGCGUGUAGGCGGCUUGUCGCGUCGGCUGUGAAAACCUGGGGCUCAACCCCCGGGCCUGCAGCCGAUACGGGCAGCUAGAAUUCGGUAGGGGAGACUGGAAUUCCUGGUGUAGCGGUGAAAUGCGCAGAUAUCAGGAGGAACACCGGUGGCGAAGGCGGGUCUCUGGGCCGAAAUUGACGCUGAGGAGCGAAAGCGUGGGGAGCAAACAGG
rnacentral:rRNA from 1 species